rnacentral:tRNA from 1 species
UGCGGGAUGGAGCAGUCUGGUAGCUCGUCGGGCUCAUAACCCGAAGGUC